rnacentral:lncRNA from 1 species
GACUGAGCCAGCUCAGUUCUCAGAAACUCGCCUUCCCGUGUAGCCUGCAGGCCCAGCGCGCCCCGCUGACCCCUCAGUGACCCCCUGUGCCCUCCCCCGGUGCGUCCUCCCGAGCCUCCUCGGGGCCCUUCCCUGCGGAGCCCAGAGCUGAAGUUUGGCAUCACCAGCCACCUGUCGGCUGGGCUGCCGUGUCCUCUUGCCUCUGCCGCGUGGGCACCUAGAACAGCGCUAAGAGAUAAACUGACUCAAGGGAUUGAGGAACUCCCCUGAUCAGGAACCAGAUGCCCAUUGUGUCCACGUACUUGCCUUUCCAGAGCUACUGUCAGAGUUCAGAGUCUAGCUCAAUCUUUCCACAGCAC